GAAGGGUGAGGAGGCAAAGGCUCCUUGAGAUGGGAACCAGCAGCACCUGGCAGUCUCCACAAGCACAACUGUGUGGUUAUCCUGGCUGGGGCAAACAGAGUCUGCUGGGUGGAAACCUGUAGCUCUGGGGAGGAGCUUUUGCAAAGACAGGACAGACAAGUAAACAGUCCUUAUCAAACUCUCCUUCACAUCUUGGAAAUGUCUUGCCUGUCUCACUUCCCCAGAUGUUUGUAUGAAAAAAAGUCAUGCAGUCUAUGUAUUUGGAAGCUCAGUCCUGAAGCAAUAUUACAAACUACCACCAAGUCCGAAGAUAUUCCUGUCAUAUCCCUUAUAAAGAGCCUGACUGAAUCAGCACUGGGGAGUCAGAUUACAGCUUGUUUUGGACUGGCAGGCUUCACCAUCAGGACGAGGUGGGCAGGGACUGUUGCCUGAGUUGUGGAUGCAAGCA